rnacentral:rRNA from 1 species
CAGCAGCCGCGGUAAUACGUAGGUGGCAAGCGUUGUCCGGAAUUAUUGGGCGUAAAGGGCUCGCAGGCGGUUUCUUAAGUCUGAUGUGAAAGCCCCCGGCUCAACCGGGGAGGGUCAUUGGAAACUGGGAAACUUGAGUGCAGAAGAGGAGAGUGGAAUUCCACGUGUAGCGGUGAAAUGCGUAGAGAUGCGGAGGAACACCAGUGGCGAAGGCGACUCUCUGGUCUGUAACUGACGCUGAGGAGCGAAAGCGUGGGGAGCGAACAGGAUUAGAGACCCCUGUAGUCCCUGUCUCUUAUAC